AAACAAGUUGACGUACAUUGUCAAUGCAGUGGUUCAAGUGUCGAUGGAAAACAAGUUGUAUAAAGUAACCAGGGAUUUGGCUACACAAGUCCGAGUUUGAAGUGCAUAUGUCGAUGGUCUAUUCCUGUUCCCGCCACCACGUGAUGUGCUACUAGUCACCAGAAACUCGAGAUGUUGUUCCUGUUAUAAAGUUGAAGUUAUAGAGCCCUUUCACUGAAACACAGUUAACAAUAGAUAAAGCGGUACACAAUGAAGCGUAUUUACUUCCUCGACUCCAGCCAUCCUUACUAUCACCUGAUAAAGGGCCAUCUUUUGUGCAUUGUGAAUCAUUGCGUCUCGAUUGUUUGGACUACAUCCGACUGCAUGCAAAAACAUCCGGAUCAUAAAAAGACUCAUGGUGGACAAAGAACAUUGCAAAGUGAUAUAAUUUUAUUGCUGCAACUUGAUUAUUUGGACAACAGCUGACUGCAGAAUUAUUCGGAAUCAUAAAGGACUCUGAAUGGACACAUAACAUUAACAUAAUUAUACAAUGAUAUUUUCAUUCCUGAAUGAAUUCAACAUCAACAUGUAUUGAUAAAAUAUACUUAGUAAAACAAUAACAAUCAGUAGUGCAUUUUUAUUCAUACUAAACCAUUUGACACACAAGUUUUAUUUCAUUCAUAUAUAAUUUGCAAAAAAUAAUAAUAAAGAAAGAAAAUGAUAUUUUAAAAAAACACCAAAAAAACAACAAAAAACAAGCGCUUAAUUCCCGAAGAUAUGAACAUGUACAGCAUUGUUCU